UGGGGAAUUUUGGACAAUGGGGGAAACCCUGAUCCAGCCAUCCCGCGUGUGCGAUGAAGGCCUUCGGGUUGUAAAGCACUUUUGGCAGGAAAGAAACGUCGCGGGUUAAUACCCCGCGAAACUGACGGUACCUGCAGAAUAAGCACCGGCUAACUACGUGCCAGCAGCCGCGGUAAUACGUAGGGUGCAAGCGUUAAUCGGAAUUACUGGGCGUAAAGCGUGCGCAGGCGGUUCGGAAAGAAAGAUGUGAAAUCCCAGAGCUUAACUUUGGAACUGCAUUUUUAAACUACCGGGCUAGAGUGUGUCAGAGGGAGGUGGAAUUCCGCGUGUAGCAGUGAAAUGCGUAGAUAUGCGGAGGAACACCGAUGGCGAAGGCAGCCUCCUGGGAUAACACUGACGCUCAUGCACGAAAGCGUGGGGAGCAAACAGGAUUAGAUACCCUGGUAGUCCACGCCCUAAACGAUGUCAACUAGCUGUUGGGGCCUUCGGGCCUUGGUAGCGCAGCUAACGCGUGAAGUUGACCGCCUGGGGAGUACGGUCGGC
rnacentral:rRNA from 1 species